rnacentral:pre_miRNA from 1 species
AAUAUUUGACGCCGUUGAUUUUUUUAAACAUGUUUGAUCGUUCGUCUUAUUUAAAAAAUUUAAGUAAUUAUUAAUUCUUUUCCUAUCAUUUGAUUCAUGGUUAAAUAUGGUUUUCUGUAUACAUAUAGUUUUACAUAUUUCACAAAAGUUUUUGAAUAAGACGAACGGUCAAACGUGUUUAAAAAAAGUUAACGGCGUCAAAUAUU